rnacentral:precursor_RNA from 1 species
UGAUUGGUCUUCAGUAUGACACCUCAAAGAAGCAAUACUGUUACCUGAAAUAGGCUGCGAAGAUAACAGUAUUUCAGAUAACAGUAUUACAUCUUUGAAGUGUCAUAUUCACUGACACUGAAU